AACGAACGCUGGCGGCAUGCCUAACACAUGCAAGUCGAACGAGAUCUUCGGGUCUAGUGGCGCACGGGUGCGUAACGCGUGGGAAACUGCCCUUUGGUUCGGAAUAACAGUUGGAAACGACUGCUAAUACCGGAUGAUGACGAAAGUCCAAAGAUUUAUCGCCAGAGGAUGAGCCCGCGUAGGAUUAGCUAGUUGGUGUGGUAAAGGCGCACCAAGGCGACGAUCCUUAGCUGGUCUGAGAGGAUGACCAGCCACACUGGGACUGAGACACGGCCGAGACUCCUACGGGAGGCAGCAGUGGGGAAUAUUGGACAAUGGGCGAAAGCCUGAUCCAGCAAUGCCGCGUGAGUGAUGAAGGCCUUAGGGUUGUAAAGCUCUUUUACCCGGGAUGAUAAUGACAGUACCGGGAGAAUAAGCUCCGGCUAACUCCGUGCCAGCAGCCGCCGUAA
rnacentral:rRNA from 1 species